CGCAACAUCACCGCAUACUGUCAUCCGAGGCUGGUGAGAAGAAAGCAGGAGGAUGCUGGCAGCAGUAUCACCUCGGCCUUGGCUUGUGUCGAUGCAGAAGUAAUGGCAGUGAUUUUUUUUUAAAGAAAGGAAAAAAAGAAAAGAAAGUCAUGAAAAGGAAAAAAAGAAAAACCACACUUCUUUGGGUUUGGAUCAACUCAUUGUGUAGAUUUACUCUCAAUCUGCGAAGGCUUGUUCAUCGAUUGGCUGGACUUUGGGCUCUUAGAGUUUGGUUGCACUUGAGAGAUGGCCGAUAGAAACUUGAAUUAACGCACUGAAUGGACUUCAGCUGGAGAUGUGGGAUUUACUGAGUACACAGCUUGAAUCUGCGCAGUGCAGAGUGAUGGCAGUCACACAGAAAUUCACAGACCUCACCAGCAGGCCUGCGCCUGGACCUACAGGACAGCAGAAGGUCAGAAGGGAAACAGCAGCCUCCUGCCCCGAGGAGCAAAGGUCACUGACUGGGUCAGGAUGAGGCUUCAUCACUGUAGUGCAGAGGAAGAGGAGAAGGAGGAGGAGGCAGUGGAGAACGAAAAAGAGAAGCAGAGUGGGUGGAAGAAUGGAAAAAGAGAAGGAUAGAAGCAGUUCGAGGAGGUGGUAUCGAAGCGGGUGAACCCAGAGCAGGUGAACACAGCUGUGGAUCGCCAUGGGCUCUCUGGCUGCCUUCCUCCUGUGGCCCCGGUGCUGCAUACAGGGGUCCCGGUGAACCAGCAGGGGCCAGCCAAAGCUGCGGCAGAGUGGGCAGGCUAGGCCAGCCAAGCCAGGAGAGAGGCAGGUGAGGCGGGUGAGCCGAGCUCUCAUUCCCGCCGGCUACGAGCCUCCUCGGCAGAGUGGAGCAGCGCGGAGUAGCAGAAAUCAAUACAGAGGAGAGAGGCUAGCAGAGGUUGCCCAGCACCGCCUGCAGGCCUCGGAGCCCAGGGACCAACCACCACUGCUCCCAGCUCCUCUUUCCAUCUCUCUUUCUAUCUUUCUCCAGCAGUCCCACCACCAUCUAGGGCCAGGGCCCUAACCUUGGAAGUGCCCCACACGCUGUGUGUGUGUGUGUGUCAGUGCACGCACAUGUGUGUGUGAAACAGAGAAAAGGGAAAGGGAAGAGACAGAGAAGCAGUCUUUGUGUGUGGUUCAGCUGGAGGGUUUUUACUUGGUCCAACACCACUUCAUAAAACUUUGUCAGAGAGACGUGGAGACAGCAGGAGAGGCAGAGAAGAAGAAUGAGACAGGACGUCGAAGGUCUCUUUUCUUCCACCUGCCUCCCUCUUAUUACUCAUUCCAUCUUAACCGUUUGAAUAAGGAUCUGUCUGAGCAACCUGCUCAGUCCCACUUCCCAGCACAAUAUUCCUAAGAUCUCAUGAGCCAGGAUGAAAGGACAAUUUGAACUUUUUCUCUCAUCCGCUAUAUCAGACACAACCUGUCUUUUCGUCUUAGAUUUUCUUACCCUCACUACAGCAGCUCCCAUAAGAGGAUAUGGCAGUGCAGUAUUGAUCUAUAAGGUGGAAGAGAGGAAGGCGGGCCUGGGCUUUCAUACCUCUCUCUCACUAUGUGUGGGGAAAUAGCACCUGAAGUCCACUUACCGCUGUGCAGCAGGGAUCCCAUGGCAGCACAAGUGAAUGGCUGCUAAUUGAAUGAGAGAUGAAAAAGACAGUAGUUUUAAAAGUGCCAUGCCCUCAAUCGUCUGCCUUCGUUUUCAUCUGACUUUUUGUCUCCUCCACGUACGCAAAAGUCCUUCCCCACACAGACACUCACUAUUCAGAUGUUUAAGCUAAAUUGCCAAAAUAAUCACAAAUGAAAAGCUGGUUUGACAUCAGUGUGAAUGUGCAGACCUUUGUACAAAAGAGGGGAGAAACAAGUCGAAUUUUUAUCCAGCGAUAGUGAGUGUCACGACACAAAAAGAUACUGUACAUGUCUGAGGGCUGGAAUGACACUAAAGGACAGGUGGAGAGUUUCCCAAGAAUGCAAAUGUGCGGUGAUUACGAUGGGAUUCUUAUUUCCUGAUGCAGUCAGAAAAGCCACCGUGAAGAUAAAAUUGACUCUUGAGCUUCCACCUGAAUAACAAAGCGUGCACGCUAUCUGUAGCCAAUUUCUUUGAACACGUUUAGCCUUGGCCACAUAUGGAAAAUGCCACCUCUACACCUGCAAGAGCAGUCACUUAGACACACAUCAUUAGAGUCUGAUUAUCCUCUGUCUAGGCGCUCGUCUUUGUGGAUGGUAACAGGUAAGUCAGUGCUGCUUCUAAAAGGUAAGUUUAGAGGUUGAAUCAAUUUAAGUGCUGUCUAAAGUGUAAAAUGGAGCUUCCGAACAAUAUUUUCCAAAAUUAGUUUCAUUAGAUAUGAAUUACUAUAUUUGAGACCAAUUUUAGGUCGGAGAUUGGAUGAGACCACAAGGGGUCUUUCUUUUUCACUCUGUAAUUUACAUUCAAGUAUUUGAUUGUAAAAUCAUUCAACGAGAGUUUGCUGUUGUUGAAUUACUUUCCUCUUUGCUGGUGCGACAUUAUGUACACAUGUAUAUUUAGAGAAUCUUUUUCUAUAAAGAAAUACGUUCAUCACAAAACACUGAACGAUAUUGCAAAAUGCCAAAAGUGUUGUUCUAAUGGGAUAUUCAUAUUUUGAAUA